AGAAAAGCAGGCUUACGUAAUCAGAGUUGUGAUUUAAACCUGGGACAGGGGCAUGUUGAAAAUGGAUUAAAAGCAAGUGCCUGUGUGAUUAAGAGAAUAAGACCCAAGAUAGUUGAACCAGAUGACGCACGCCAUGGGAAGAAUUCGUUAUGGAAGUGUUGGCCCACGGGGCAGUCGUACGACACCCACUGACUGAUUUCAUCCACAAACUGUCUAUAUGUUCCAUCACCAGUAGAGGAAAAUGCACAUCCUAGAGGAGAGAGGAACAAGGGAUAACUCUGUCUGAAAGGUGUCGCUUGAUAAAAUAACAGACUCUUCUACAUUACCCCGUGGAUAGAAACAGCCGCAGCGGGUCAGACUGAACUCUUUGUGAUGAGGACACUGGAAGCGAAUCCAACCAAUUUCUGCAUUAAUGUAUCCCAUGUAGGAAAUCCGGUC